CAUCUACUCUCUCCAUCCCAAAAUUCUUGUCUUAGUUUUGUCUAAAAAUGAGUGUAUCUAAAUACGAAAGAAAGAGUAGAUACAUUCAUAUAUAAGCAAAUCUGAGAAAAGAAUUUUGGGACGGAGGGGGUAUUAC
rfam:Hordeum vulgare subsp. vulgare, WGS project CAJW01000000 data, contig: morex_contig_2227396